rnacentral:rRNA from 1 species
GACGAACGCUGGCGGCGUGCUUAACACAUGCAAGUCGAACGGAAAGGCCCUGCUUUUGUGGGGCGCUCGAGUGGCGAACGGGUGAGUAACACGUGAGUAACCUGCCCCUGACUUUGGGAUAUCUUCAGGCCACUGGGGCUAAUACCGGAUAGGAGCUCCUGCUGCAUGGUGGGGGUUGGAAAGUUUCGGCGGUUGGGGAUGGACUCGCGGCUUAUCAGCUUGUUGGUGGGGUAGUGGCUUACCAAGGCUUUGACGGGUAGCCGGCCUGAGAGGGUGACCGGCCACAGUGGGACUGAGAUACGGCCCAGACUCCUACGGGAGGCAGCAGUGAGGGAGAUUGCACGAUGGGCGGAAGCCUGGUGCAGCAACGCCGCGUGCGGGAUGGCGGCCUGCGGGUUGGAAAGCGCUUUCGCCUGUGACGAAGCGUGAGUGACGGUAAUGGGUGAAGAAGCACCGGCUAACUACGUG